CAUUGUAAAUCCCUCAGUUGAUCAUCAUCCAUAUUAUUUUUAUUUUUAGCCACAGAUGGACACAGUACCUUCAUUUUAUCUAUUUAUUUUAUGUGGUACUGAGGAUGGAACCCAGGGCCUCACAUGUGCCAGGCAGGUGCUCUACUGCUGAGCCCCAGCCCAUCAUCCAUACUUGACUUCCGUAUGUCAGGGUUUCUAACCCUUUUCUUCCCAGCCAGGCCACAUGCAGCUCGUGUCUCCAGGGCUGUCUGUGUUUAUUUUGCUUCUGCAGGAUGGUUUGAAGGGCCCAGUGACAGAAUAUGAGUUUGACUCCUUGCAAAAUGAUCAUUGCUAACUGCUAUUUCAUCUUUGGUGGUAACGUACCUUUGUACCCAUCAAUUUGCUCUUAGUUGUGAUGGCUCAAGGAACGGACUGAUUAUUAAUCUACUACUAUGGUUUAGAUCCUAAGAGUCCUUCAAAGGCCCAUGUGCUAAAUAAAGGCUUUGCCAUCAGUCUGUGGCAGUGUUGGGAGGUGGGGUUAGUGGAAGGAAAUUAGGUCACUGAGGGUGUGCCUGAAGGACACUGGAGCCCAACCCCUUCACCUCUGUGUUUGUGUUAUCUUUGUGUUUGCUUCUUGGUUGCCAUGAUGCUCUGCCUCACCAUAAGCCCAGAGCAAAACUUCCAAAGUGACCAUGAAUGAAACCUCUGAUACCAUGAGCCCAAAUGACUCUUCUUCCCUCUUAAGUCAUUUAUCUCAGGUAUUUUGUCACAGCACUGGGCAGCUAGUACCCUGACCACCUUCUUAGCACUUCCUGACUUCCUUAGGCUCUUCAUUCUUUAGACAGAAAUGAAGCCAUAAAUUAGAUUCACUGGAAAUUCACAUGAAAUUCAUGGAGAUCAUGGAUCUACAAAGCUGUCCUCUCACUCCAUGCUCAUACCCAAACUGGAAACUCCUGUUUCUCAUAGGGCUGGGUUCGAAUUUCCAGGGAUCACAUAGGAGAGUGUGACCAAAAGCGUGUUACUUACUCUUCAUGAAGUGCUAACUGUCUUAUCUGUAAAAUGGGAACAAUAAGGGUAAACUUUCUCCUUAUAUAAAAUGAGAUAACAUAAGGAAAGCUAAUGAGUAUCAUAUUAAAAAGUAGUAGACAUUAUUAGCUAUCAUAUCAUCAUUUUGAUUUAUCAUUAUCAUUAACACAAUGUUUUGGACAAUUUCAGAUGUGGCUAACUGCAAAUCCAGCCUAUUGUCUCUUACUUAAAAAAAAAUGCUAUGCAAGGAAAUGGAAGAGUGGUUGGUCUGGGAUAACCUUAUUUCUGGGCCAAGUUAUUAAUUCUCAGGGAGCCUUCAUAUACAUUGAUACCUUAAGUACAAUUCUUAACAUAUUCCUUUUGUCAAGUUUUACACAUCUUAUUACUUUGAUUAUUUUGUUCUGGUGUUUAUUGGUUCAACACAUCAAGGUAGUUAUGAUACCAUGCUCAUAUGGGUAUCCUAGUAUGGUAUGUGAAAUCCAGGGAUUUGAAAACAACCUGGCAAAAAAAUGGAGUCUCCAGGUUGUGCUGAAAUCCAUGGUCUCCAAAGAUGCCCUCCCAACAGUUACCUGAUUGCUACCAAAUGCUUUGUGGCCUCCGAAUGCCUCCCAAGUACCUUCUUUAUGAUUGACAGCUCAAGUUCCAGGCGUGAAAAGAGACUGGUCUUCUCUAACAAUAAUUUUAAAAUAAUUAUUAUGACAUUAAUGGAAUGUUAGAGUCUGAAACAAGUCAAGAUGGCGCCUGGUAUUUUGCGAGAGGGAGUGGUUUGUGAAGUAACGCCAGUGAGCCAUUUAGUGUGGAGAUUCCUUAUUGGUUGACUGCUGUAUCGAGUUUAUGUUAAUUAGAUAAGCUGUGUGGAAUGUAUAUAUACCACUCCUGUCCUACAAUAAAUGGCUCCCACUCCUGCUGUAUCAAUGUACACAAGUUGUUCGUCACCCCCCGGUUAUUCUGCUGCAGCCAGACUGCGGCAGAUGGUGGCCCAUUAUGGGGAGCUCUGGGACACUUGGGGGUUAGUGACAAAAAAAAAGCUGCACGUCCCUAGAUAGGACGGGAGCAAAUCUGUUCGUCCCUAGACAGAUAGGGCGAAAGGAAAAAUGGCCAUUUUGAGAAAAUGGAGAGGAUUGAUGCAGUAUGUUUGUGUCUUGUUUUGUCUUGAAAUGUUGUAUUGUCUUUGUGACGAAAAUAUGGAAGGGGUGAAAAGUAAAUUACUAAGGGAAGAAGGCACCCCAGUGGAACCAAGCAUAGUUAGAGCAUGUGUUGAUGGAAGCCCAGGAACUCUAGUCAGAAAAAAGAAAGUUCAGAAAAAGAAGGAUUAUCAGGAAAAAAGUUGCAGCAAAAGGCUAUUACUGAAUACUUUUCGUUACCGGAGGGUGCGUGAAUUGGGUGGCGGCUACCACAUGCGCAAGCCGGUCAUGGCGCAGCAAGGACUUUCCAAGCGGCGGCAGCCGGCUCGGCUCUUCCACUGCCUGGAGCCCAAAUCUAGACCUGACCUGGAGGCACAGUCUCACAAGCUUUUGCUCCCUGUGCCCAGAAGCAGUUUGAGUCCGGGACACUCCCCAGGGCCAUCUGGGGCUGCCUGGGACGCUACCGGUGUCCCUGAUGUUUAGUCAUUUUCAAUGCCAAUAACUAAGCUACAAUGGUUCUCCCACACCUGGAGGCUGAUUUUCUUUAGCCAUUAUUGUCGGAGUGAGGGUGGAAGAAUUUCCAGUGUUGCUGAAAACCGGACGAGACUUUGGAUCAAGCUAGCUGCCUGCAGAACUUACCUGGACUGUGAUUUAAGCUAGCUGCCUGCAGAACUUACCUGGACUAUGAUUUACCUGGACUGUGAGUUAAUCUAUUGAGACAGUGCUUUACCUGGACUGAGACAACAAACUGUAAUCUACAACAAAUUGUAACUCGGUAUCUUUGCUAACGGUGUCAUUGCUGGUAUAAUUUUUCCAAGGGCUUGUAGCAUGGAGCCAUCAAUUGGCUUGGUAUUGUGGCAUUUUGUAUCCUCCCCUUCUGCUUGUAGCAGAUUAUUUAUAGUGUUUGUGUAAAAACCACUAUGGUCGUUAUUUAAAUUAAACAAAAGGGGGAAAUGUUAGAGUCUGUAAACAAGUCAAGAUGGCACCUGGCAUUUUGCAAGAGGGAGUGGUUUGUGAAGUAACGCCAGCGAGCCAUUUAGUGUGGAGAUUCCUUAUUGGUUGACUGCUGUAUCGAGUUUAUAUUAAUUAGAUAAGCUGUGUGGAAUGUAUAUAUACCACUCCUGUCCUACAAUAAACGGCUCCCACUCCUGCUGUAUCAAUGUACACAAGUUGUUCGUCACCCCCGGGGUUAUUUUGCUGCAGCUGGACUGCGGCAAUGGAAGUAACUGUUCUUUGCUAGUAGCUAUGGUCAACAGACUUAGAGUGCAUUUCUGUGAACUGUCUCAAUCCUUACUAGUCUUAUGAGGUGUCUUUGCACUGUUUAUGUUGGGAUACUGAGGCAAGGAAAGAGAAUUACACUCUUCAUGGUCAUGGCCUGGGAUAUAGCAAAGCUAGGAACUAAACCCAGGUAUUGCCACUGCAGAGUUCAUGAUCACCCAGUAGCCUGUCUUUUGUUUCUCCAACAUUCUUUUUCUUAAGCUGAAGAAUCACAAGUGAUUUUCUAAUCAUAGGAACUCACAUUCACUGAGCAUAUACUGUGUACUAGGACUCAGUGUGGGUGAGGGUGUGCCCCUUUUCUCCUUUCACAUUUCCAGAAGUACAAGGAGGGAAAGAAGGAAGUUUGCAGAGGAAACAGAUAAGGAAACAGAGGGUCUGAGAGGUUUGUCAGCUCCAAUAAGAUUUCUGCCUCCAGAAACCGAGUACAUCUCAUUUUCCAGACACAUAUUCCCAGAGCAUCUAAUAAUUGCAAGAACUUGAUUCACUGUGUGGCUAUGCAAAGAUAAAUUGCAAAGAGGUUAUGCUCUGUGAUCAGAGAGACCACGACCACAAACAAUCUUAAUUGUGUUGAACCAAUAAACACCAGAACAAAAAUGUUUUCUUCUGGAAGAAGAAAUGAUGCCAUUUUCAGCAAGAGCCAAGGUUUGUAAACCCUAGCACCCUUUUAAGCUUCUCCAAGUGCUACACAGAGCCCUUGAUGAUUUUCAGUUAGGAAAUGUCCCCGACGCUGACAUCCUAUCUCAUGACAAGAAGACAACAGCGAGGGACUUUCCCAAAAGUGACUCCAAGAGGCCGUCGAGAUGUUUUCAGGUUCUAAAAUAGUCACUUCCAUUCAAAGUCCUACGGGGCAAUCAUUAAAAAAAAAAAAAAAAAAAAAAGCUUUCCAUUUUUCCUGGUCUGGAGGUGAGCCAGAAGGCCACUCUUAAUACUUGGCUAGCUUCGCUUAGGUCUCAGAGAGAUUUUUACGUGGAUAUAGGAACCAGUAGAGCCUUCUGAGCAUGCUGUAGGGUCCAGUUCUCCCUGAUCACCCCUGAAUCAUUGGGGGGAGGUCAUGAGGAGGGCGCACUCAGCAGGCAACCUUUAAACGAGCCCAGAAACAACUGGAGCAAAUGCAACGUGCUCCCUGAGGUGAAUGCACGCCCUUAAUUUUUCCUCCAGGUUUCUGCAGGGUGUGUAUUUAUAGACGGUCCCAGGGAGCGGAGGGUUGGGGACAGACUUCUUCACUAGAGAACAGGCCACACCCUCCCUGCUUCCCUAUUUCUUUUUAAGGCCACCAGUGACGUCAUGCUCACCUUCCACCCCGGGGCAGGGGCUGGGUGUUUUUCUAAUUGUCGGCCACACUUCCUCCACCGAGUUGCUUCUUCUCGUGGGGACCGGCUCCUGGAGUCAGGCACGAAGCAGGAUCCAACUCCACGUGCCGAGGAGGAACUCAGGAGCCAAGGAGGAACUCAGGAGCCAUGGCGUCCUCCAGGCGCGACCUGUGGCGCGAGGCUGGGACAUGCGAAGUAGGAGGACGUGACUGGAGCGAGGAGAGGGGCGACGACGAGAUCCACAGGCACUGCGGCUGCGUAACAUCCUGGGCCUCUCUGCCUCCCUACAAUCCUAUUGGCCAGUCCCCUCAGAGGGGCACAUGGGUCUGGCCAAUCACCAGGGCUGGUGCAGGAAGAGGCGGAGCUAGAUGAAGGCACCUAACCACCAGCAAGAGUGGGCCUGGCCUUACAUCCAGUCAGUCGCCUGUCCGCCUUCUUGGUGCAGGAGCUCCCUUCGGGCCCAUUUUACAGUUUGCAUUUUCAUAGACAUAAAACAGUGAUGGCAUCUCUGGACGUCACAUCCAAUAUUCCCGUCAGGAAGAUGGACAAGGAGCAAAAGGCCCAAGAAGCAUUCUGGACCCCAUAGAAAAGUUCUGGUGGAAGCCCUGCUCCUCGGCUUUUCACUUAUGCCCUGUUGGCCGGAAGAGCAUCACAUGUUUCACCCACCGGCAGGUGAAGAGGAAGUUUCCCAGAGGCUGUCGAUGGAGUGGGCUUGGCUGGUCAGUGGUGUCUGCCAUCCUGCCAGGGCAUCAUGGCUGGACCCUGAUCAUCAUCCCCACUCUGAAACACUGCCCGAGUCAUCUCCAAAGGGGUCCAUCCAUUUUAUAGUGCUGCGAGCACAGCAGGGACCCUGUGUUCAGUUUCCUUUGCCACCGAAAUGAUCAAUGUCAUUCCUUUGGAUGUGGGGUAUCCCCCAGAAGCUCACAGUCUUCCUCCAUGAUGUCCUGCCUCCCCUGGAGCCCCGAGGAAUGGAGCCUGCUGUCUAUGGACUGAGACCUGGGAAACUGUGAGCCCCAAAUCAACUCUACCUCUUGUCCCAUUGCUCUGGUCGAGUCUUUUUGUCACAGCAGCAAAAGGCUGACUCAAACAAGGAGUCUCAUGAAAGCAUGUCCCUGGAAACUAAAGGCUUGCACUUCACCGAAGGCCAAGUUGGGGCCCAACUGCCCAGGCCAAGCCCAGUGUCAUCAUGGGCUUUUGGUCUGUCAGACAUGCCGGGGAUGAACCAUCUGCUCGUCCUGGGCUAGGAGUGUGGCUCUAGAGCUAUUUGCUCCAGGGAUCGCCUUAAAUUGGAGUCAGUCCUCUGGGCUCUGGGCUGUGCAUAUGUGCAGCAGAUAAUGGCAUUAUCGCUCUGUCCUCAAGUUCCUCUUGUCCACCAGGCUGUUGUGCCCCAGGAUCAAUGACUCUUGCUAAUUUUGUGGUCCUGCCUUCAGCUCUUAGCAUUCCUUUGUAUAAAGUCCUCUGUAGCAGACACUGUAAAAUUCCAGAAACUUGCUAUAUCCCCCGGGUUUGGACUUUGUAGGUAUUCCUGAGAUUGACAUUCCUAUGAUCAUGAAAUAAAGCGAGGUCAUAAGAAUGGCAUGUCUUGAGCUAGAAAUAAAUCCACUGUGGCUGGAGGAGGGUGGACAAGGAAUGGGGGUGGCAAUUUGGCCAGUUACGAGGGCCAGAUCAUGAUGGGUCUCAGGAGAUACCGUAGAGAGUUUGGGUUUUACUCUAAAUCCAAUGGGAAGUCACUGCAAGGUUUCAAGCAGAGGACGGAUAUGGUCUGAUUUAGGUUCUGGAGAGCUUCUUUGGUGCUGUGUGGAUUCUUUGUACUAAAGUGUGGCCCAUUCAUGGCCCAUCCAUGGACAAGCAUCAUCUCUGAGCUUGUUAGAAAGGCAGAGUCUCAGACUGUUGGUGAGAAUAUAAGUCAGCACAGCCAUCAUGGAAAACAAUAUGGAAACUCCUCAGACAACUAAAAAUGGCACCACUGUAUGACCCAGCUGUCCCAUUUCUGGGUCUGUUUCCAAAGGAAAUGAAAUCAGCCUACCAAAGAGACACCUGCAUCCCUGUGUUUAUUGCAGUACCCUCUUCACAAUAGUCAAGACAGUGGUAUCCAUCUGUGGAUAAUUCGAUAAAGACAAUAAAGAAAAAUGGCCUCUAUGUAGAA